UACAGAGGGUGCAAGCGUUGUUCGGAAUUAUUGGCGUAAAGAGCGUGUAGGCGGUUUGGUAGGUCCGUUGUGAAAACUCGAGGCUCAACCUCGAGACGCCGAUGGAAACCAUCAGACUAGAGUCCGGAAGAGGAGAGUGGAAUUCCUGGUGUAGCGGUGAAAUGCGCAGAUAUCAGGAAGAACACCCGUGGCUAAGGCGGCUCUCUAGUACGGUACUGACGCUGAGACGCGAAAGCGUGGGGAGCGAACAGG
rnacentral:rRNA from 1 species